rnacentral:lncRNA from 1 species
CUUUCUUGGUGGGAGUUGAAUCAGAUCAAGACUCCAAGAAUACUUGUCACAUAAAGUGAAAUUUGCAGCAAGUAAGGAGAACACAGGGAAUCAUUUCCAAAGCUAGGACUCCCCAAAGCUAGCAAACUUUUUUUUUUUAUUUGUGCAGCAAUGUAUAUUCCCAAGGGGAAAGGGCAUCCUCACAUGGGCAGAAUGGUCCUGCACAGGCACAGUCUGACAGCAUCUCCUUUAUACUUUCCAUGGAAACAAGGCUUCAGCUCUUUCUUGGAUGCAAAUUUUUGGUAUUAUAAUGAAGUAAAGUUUGCCUCUUGGUCAUUGAUGCAUGCUCCUUAGGGUAGAUUGUGGAACAUUGUAUCUGAAAAACGUCUUUUAAGGGGAUUUCUUAAACUAUUUUAGAGCAAAGGAACAGGAUGGGAGAUGGUCUGCAUCCUGCUUUCUCAAGCUACUGAAUGGGAGAGACAGUUUGCAUCUUGUUUUCUCAGGCUGCUAGUGGUGAGAAGCCUCAUCCUGCUUCCUCAGGCUGCCCUUCUGCUCACAGAACCACAUGAAGCUAUACAGACACCUACUAUACAACACCAUCUCUUGUUCAGAAACUACCAUUCUCUGGGUAUGCUAGUAGAUAACUUGAUACACAUAGACAAGGUGUGUCUGAUAAUCUAAACUACUUAUCAAGUAAGUACAAUUAUACCCACUAAAUACAGGAGGAAACAAGGUUAGCAUGGUUAAAAACUUUCUGGGGUUCCAUAGAGGCAGAGGGAGGAUUUGAACCCAGUCCUUUGAACCCAGCUCGUGCACUUUCUGGAACACUCUUGUGUCUCUGUCCUUUCUUUUCCCUGCCUGUGCUCAUAUUGUAUUUUUUUCUCAUGAUUUUUUUAACCUUCAAUUUCCCCCGUCAGAACACUCAUCAAUCACAUUUGUCUAUGAAUAUAUUUAUGUUCAUGUACUUUAAUAUUUGUAUUUAUAUUUAUCUACUUUAUAUUUAUGAAUAAGAUAUACUCCCCAAUUGGUAAUGGUGGUUUAAUCUGAGUAGUAGACUACUUUGCAAUUUAUAUUUUCUUUUGUGUUUUUCUAUAUUAUUAAAUGAAAUUUAUUACUGUGAUCAGAGAAAAAAAUCUUUAAAACCUUUCACAUGCUUUUAAGUUCAUAUGCUGCUGUCUGAAUACAAUCUUUUCUUGAUAUCCAAGCUGAUCCUUUCUCGUCCUUGUUUGAAACACAUGCCUUUCCAUAGCAUGUGUUUCCCAUGCCUUUUGGGGUAAUUUUUAGUGUUUUGCUGUGUAGUCUGUGAAACUUCAAUUAUUCUAGGCCCAUCAACUUAAAAGAAAGAGGCACAGCUACCAAUAAAAAUGAUAGCAGAAUAGUUGUUACUCUAAGGGUCUGGGGUAUAGCUCAGUUGUAGAGUACUUGCCUAGCCCUGGGUUCAAGUUUCAGCACACACACAAAAAAAGUUACUCUAGUCACACUCACUCCCUCCUCCCCAUCAUGAUAGCAUGAUAGCUAGGACUUUCCUGCUGUGUCUCUUCCUAUGACUUGAAAGCUAUGUCCUCCACAAAGCUGAUCAUAUGACAUGGGUCAAACAUGCGCACUUGGUGGUGCUGGGGAUAUGGCUCAAGCGGUAGCGCGCUCGCCUGGCAUGCGUGCAGCCCAGGUUCCAUCCUCAGCACCAUGUACAAACAAAGAUGUUGUGUCAAACAAAGAUGUUGUGUCCUGUUGAGAGCCACAGCCGAAGGGGCCCCAGCAAAUUUCCAGCUGACAGCUGAUGAUUGGCUCACAGCGGCCCCAGCAAACUUCUAGCUGCCAACUGAUUGGCUCCUGUGAGGUGAUGCUCAUUGGGCUGUUUCCCUGCCCUUUCAGACCACAGAACUACUCUUUGGGGGACUGUUUUUUUUGGCUCCGCCCACGUGACCCAGCCAAUAGGCCUCAAGAGCAGGAGGAGUGGGGGAGUUGGAGAGGCUUGUGGGAAGCCGGUGGUGGCAGUUGGGCUUUGAGGGUUUUCCUGAGGAGCUGUGUGGUGUGGUGUGUGUGUUCUAAAAAUAAAGUUCGUUUCUUUUGACAAGUGGCUUCUGAAUUGUGCCCAGCCAGACUGCAGCAGUAUCCACCAAUGACUAAAAAAUAAAUAUUAAAAAGUUCUCUCUCUCUCUCUCUUUAAAAAAAAAUGCUCACUUGGUAUUUGUCUUUGCAUGAUGCUGUCCCUCUUCCAUCACUUGGGCUAGACUAGAUUACAUUUCAUUUAUUGACAGCCAGACCCACCACAUCCCAGUUUGUCUCUGGUCUUUUUCACUUUUCUAAAAAGGGAGAAGGACUCUCUCUUCCCACCCAGGUUGUAUUUUUUAAAAGUUAUCUCUUGCCUGUUGAGUGUUAUGAGUGAGCUGUACAUUAAACAUGUCAGAAUUUAUUGAAUAAUAGUAAAUUCACAAGCUUUAUGUUUCAUCAGCAUUGAUUCACCAAGUACUUAUGGCUCACUUGAUAGCCCUGAACUGGGCAAUUCAAGUUCUUUAAUUCUCUUCCUAUCUUAAUUACUAAUAUUUGUAAUGCUGAAGUUACACAUCAUACUUUACACAAAUGAUCUAUAGGUUAUGAAAUGAAUAAGAAAGUGUUAACAGUGGCCAUAGGGUUUAAAGAGGUAGCAAGAAAAGCAAAAUAACAUUUAAUUGUAGGUCUAAUUAGCUUUUAUUUGUGAUUUAUGAAUCAAAGAAGCCUUUAAUGAAAGCUCACUUGGUAUUUGUCUUUGCAUGAUGCUGUCCCUCUAAUUUAGUUUUUUUUUUUUCCCAAGGUUGAAGAAGAGGCGACUUCCUUGUUCUUUCCAGUAGACUGUAAUCUACCAUUUUCAGGAAAAAAAUUUACUGGUCUGUUUUGGGGUAUAUUUCAUUAAGAGUUUCAGUGUGAUGAUGUGGCAUUUGGCAUGAAUGGCUCCAUUUUGGUUUGGUCUGGUCUGUUGGGGCCUAGUACAGGAGCUCAGUCCAAAAUAAUACUCUUAACAUAAUUUUUGUUUAACAGUGCUAAAUUAAUUCAGGAUUCAGAGUAAUCUGGUCCAAUCUCUCCUCAACUGGGGCCCGAAAGGGUUUAUGACUAUUGACUCUUCUGUCUGGUAAAUAAAGGUGUGACUUUCAUUUUAUAACUUA